CCUACGGGAGGCAGCAGUGAGGAAUAUUGGUCAAUGGGCGAGAGCCUGAACCAGCCAAGUAGCGUGCAGGAUGACUGCCCUAUGGGUUGUAAACUGCUUUUAUCAGGGAAUAAAGUGCGGCACGUGUGCCGUUUUGUAUGUACCUGAUGAAUAAGGACCGGCUAAUUCCGUGCCAGCAGCCGCGGUAAU
rnacentral:rRNA from 1 species